UCCCUUGGCCGGCGUGCUUACACAUGCAAGUCGAACGGUGAAGCAGAGCUUGCUCUGUGGAUCAGUGGCGAACGGGUGAGUAACACGUGAGCAACCUGCCCCUGACUCUGGGAUAAGCGCUGGAAACGGCGUCUAAUACUGGAUAUGAGCUGCGAUCGCAUGGUCAGCAGUUGGAAAGAUUUUUCGGUCUGGGAUGGGCUCACGGCCUAUCAGCUUGUUGGUGAGGUAAUGGCUCACCAAGGCGUCGACGGGUAGCCGGCCUGAGAGGGUGACCGGCCACACUGGGACUGAGACACGGCCCAGACUCCUACGGGAGGCAGCAGUGGGGAAUAUUGCACAAUGGGCGAAAGCCUGAUGCAGCAACGCCGCGUGAGGGAUGACGGCCUUCGGGUUGUAAACCUCUUUUAGCAGGGAAGAAGCGAAAGUGACGGUACCUGCAGAAAAAGCGCCGGCUAACUACGUGCCAGCAGCCGCGGUAAUACGUAGGGCGCAAGCGUUAUCCGGAAUUAUUGGGCGUAAAGAGCUCGUAGGCGGUUUGUCGCGUCUGCUGUGAAAUCCCGAGGCUCAACCUCGGGUCUGCAGUGGGUACGGGCAGACUAGAGUGCGGUAGGGGAGAUUGGAAUUCCUGGUGUAGCGGUGGAAUGCGCAGAUAUCAGGAGGAACACCGAUGGCGAAGGCAGAUCUCUGGGCCGUUACUGACGCUGAGGAGCGAAAGGGUGGGGAGCAAACAGGCUUAGAUACCCUGGUAGUCCACCCCGUAAACGUUGGGAACUAGUUGUGGGGUCCAUUCCACGGAUUCCGUGACGCAGCUAACGCAUUAAGUUCCCCGCCUGGGGAGUACGGCCGCAAGGCUAAAACUCAAAGGAAUUGACGGGGACCCGCACAAGCGGCGGAGCAUGCGGAUUAAUUCGAUGCAACGCGAAGAACCUUACCAAGGCUUGACAUAUACGAGAACGGGCCAGAAAUGGUCAACUCUUUGGACACUCGUAAACAGGUGGUG
rnacentral:rRNA from 1 species